rnacentral:rRNA from 1 species
GUGGGGAAUCUUGCGCAAUGGGCGAAAGCCUGACGCAGCCAUGCCGCGUGAAUGAUGAAGGUCUUAGGAUUGUAAAAUUCUUUCACCGGGGACGAUAAUGACGGUACCCGGAGAAGAAGCCCCGGCUAACUUCGUGCCAGCAGCCGCGGUAAUACGAAGGGGGCUAGCGUUGCUCGGAAUUACUGGGCGUAAAGGGCGCGUAGGCGGACAGCUUAGUCAGAGGUGAAAGCCCAGGGCUCAACCUUGGAAUUGCCUUUGAUACUGGCUGUCUUGAGUGUGGGAGAGGUGAGUGGAACUCCGAGUGUAGAGGUGAAAUUCGUAGAUAUUCGGAAGAACACCAGUGGCGAAGGCGACUCACUGGCCCAAUACUGACGCUGAGGCGCGAAAGCGUGGGGAGCAAACAGGAUUAGAUACCCGGGUAGUCC